CUGGGCCGCGGUGUGCCGGUACCGGGCUGGACCGCUCCGCGCAGCUGCUGCUCCUCUGCCCGCUCCUGGCUGCCCGGCAGCAGUUCUUCAGUGGCAAGCUUUAUGUCCUUCUCUAGUAGCUAAAGCUGCCAGUUGAAGAACUGUUGAAUGUAGCCACGCUCAUCGCUGCGACGUCGGAUGUCAGCUGCAGCUGUGUGCUGAGCCACCGGGAUGAGUGAGCCAACAGCAUCCCAUGGAGGCACCCCGAGGGAGCUGAGGAUGAGCCCGGUGGGGAUGAGGAGCCUCCGGGCAAAGCCAGGGCUAUAAAACAGGGAAUGGGGUCCCACUCCAUGGUGGGAUGGCAUUGAAUUGAGACGGCCAGAGACAUUAAACUUUGUGUUUUCCUGAA